rnacentral:rRNA from 1 species
AAUGAACGCUGGCGGCGUGGAUUAGGCAUGCAAGCCGUGCGGAAAGGCUCCUUCGGGAGUACUCGAGCGGCGUAAGGGAGAGUAACGCGUGGAUAUCUACCCCCUGGACUGGGAUAGCGGCGGGAAACUGCCGGUAAUACCAGAUAAUGUCUGCGGACCAAAGGUGUGAUUCCGCCGGGGGAUGAGUUCGCGUCCUAUUAGCUAGUUGGUAGGGUAAUGGCCUACCAAGGCAAAGAUGGGUACCGGGUGUGAGAGCAUGGCCCGGCUCACUGGGACUGAGACACUGCCCAGACACCUACGGGUGGCUGCAGUCGAGAAUCUUCGGCAAUGGGCGCAAGCCUGACCGAGCGACGCCGCGUGCGGGAUGAAGGCCUUCGGGUUGUAAACCGCUGUCAGAGGGGAGGAAAUGCGUGAGAGUUCUCUCUCACGUUUGACCUAUCCUCAGAGGAAGUACGGGCUAAGUUCGUGCCAGCCGCCGCGGUAAGAC